UGCAGAGGGGCUUACUUCAUUGGCUAUGUGUCUGAAAUGACAAUCUAGCUGCCUCUGUUGAGUGGAAGUUUUGCUGUUUCUCAGACUUGGUGCAUUUCAGAUGAGAAAUGAAGGUUUGUAGGUCAGUCCUUUGAGUGUUCAGUGUUAAUUUUUGAUUGGAGACACGGAGUUGAUUCCAAUUCAGUGGUAAGUGGGAAAGCCUGCAGAUGUGGCUCUGGACUUGGUCCAAGCAUAGAAGGGCGGUGACUGAUAGAGCAGAUGCGUGUGACUCCCGACUGGGCCUGAGCAAGAAGGGGUAGUGUGGAGCAGAGUCACCAUGAGAGCAAGUGUGGGUGCAAUCUGGGAGUGGAGGGACGCAGGCAAGGGUCUGGAAUGACUGUCACAGGGUGUGUGCACAGAGGUUGGACUCCUCGUUGGGCCUGGGUAUGGAGUUUGCAAGUGAAAAAGAUCUAGGGAAUUCACCCAGUGGGCGCAUAUAGUGACCCAACUGAGCAUAAGGGGCAGUGUGGGAGGAGGUCUGGGUGUGGCAGGGUGGUGUGGAUGGCGUGGAUGGGAGUUUGGAGCAAUUACUCAGUCAGUACACAUGUAGAUGGUGGAUGGGUCUGGGUCUGUUGUAAUAUUUUAUCCAAAAAGUAGUUCAGACUCAUAAUGGGGGUGGUGGCAAAAAGACCAUCUGACAAGCUAAUGAUACCAUUCACCCAUGUUAAUAAGGGGAAUAUCAGAUUCUUCCCACACUGCCCCAGGCCAUAAUACACAAAUGCAGGAGUCCUUGUGCAUAACUAUUUAUGGAAUGUGGACCAUAGUGGUAGCCUAUUAAUGGUGAUACUGUCUUUAGCUAACUACCCUCUUUUGGGGGGGGGGAAAUUAAGUUGUUUCUGAAUGUUUGCACUGUUAAAGAGCUGUCUGGAGAUUAUCUCUGUAGCUAAGUCUUAGCCUACAUAUUUAAGAGUGCGUUAGGAUAAAUUCCCAGAGGAAGACUUUUUGGGUGAUGGGUAAUUCACGCUGUCACCAAUAGUGACAGUGCCCUGAGCCAGGUGACAAGUUUUAAUUGAGCAUCACACCAGGAAGCUGUAAUUUUGUCUUGGCACUGUCAUCACGGCUCACAACAUUUGGUGAACUCUGUGUUUGGUCAUCCCAGCUGUGACUCACACAGGAAAAUAAACCGUCAUCUCUCGUGCUGCCUUUGAUCUUUGACUCGGCUGGAAAACCUAAUUUACCAUGAAAGCUACCGUGGAGGAUGCUCACGCCAACGUGUCAGCAGCUCCAGGGAGGAGAAUGAAGCCUGGCACGGCCCGCAGUGGUGACAAUCAGAGAAAUGUUCACUGUCCCCGGAGGCCAGCUCUUCGUGUGUGUGUCCUGACGGGAUUCUCAAAAAGAACAGAACCAUUUAGUGCCAUAAAGGCCAUCCAGUAGGGAUGAAACUUCCAGAUACUUACAGGUUCCUGGGGAAAGUUCUGCUACUGUAUCAAGCAAUCUGGUCUGAUGAACUAACCAUCUCCGGAGCCCAUUUUGACUCCACCCAUCUUUCGAGCGUAUUUUGCAGAUUCACUCACUCUUCCCUCCUGACCUCCAGAGAAACAGCAGAUGCCAUGGCUUCUGUUCUCCUGAUUUGGCAUGCCAUUUCCCCCAAGCUCCUGGAACAUCACUGCAGCACCCUGCCUUCUCAGUUCCAUCAAGGAACAUACACCUAAGGCUCCCGCCAUGUGCGACUCCUGGUUUCCCCUCCCCAGUUCACCCCUUGUCAGCAUGAAGCAGACUCGAGAAUUCAGCGCCCUUGUUCCCCGACUUGCUAUCCACAACUCACCUUUUUAUAUAAUCAGUGUUAGUUUUUUGACCUGCUCCUUGGAAACCCACCCCUUGGGGACCCUUCUAGCAUCCCGAUGUAAAGUCCCCAUUAAAAAAGAGAACUCGGGAGGCAGAGCCAGGCGGAUCUCUGUGAGUUCGAGGCCAGCCUGGUCUCCAAAGCGAGUUCCAGGAAAGGCGCAAAGCUACACAGAGAAACCCUGUCU